rnacentral:rRNA from 1 species
UGGGGAAUUUUGGACAAUGGGCGCAAGCCUGAUCCAGCAAUGCCGCGUGCAGGAUGAAGGCCUUCGGGUUGUAAACUGCUUUUGUACGGAGCGAAAAGGCUCUCUCUAAUAAAGGGGGCUCAUGACGGUACCGUAAGAAUAAGCACCGGCUAACUACGUGCCAGCAGCCGCGGUAAUACGUAGGGUGCGAGCGUUAAUCGGAAUUACUGGGCGUAAAGCGUGCGCAGGCGGUUUUGUAAGACAGAUGUGAAAUCCCCGGGCUCAACCUGGGACCUGCAUUUGUGACUGCAAGGCUAGAGUACGGCAGAGGGGGAUGGAAUUCCGCGUGUAGCAGUGAAAUGCGUAGAUAUGCGGAGGAACACCGAUGGCGAAGGCAGCUUACUACGCAUAUAUUGACGCUGAGGCACGAAAGCGUGGGGAUCAAACAGG